rnacentral:lncRNA from 1 species
CAGUAUUGUACUAAUCAUCAACAAAGCUACUUCCCCUCACUGCUCUCUCACAUACAUGAUCAUCAUGCCGAAGAAAACGUGCCUUCUUUCAUGGGUUUCUAACAACGGAGUUUCUCUUGCCCAUCUUGUUCUUUAUGGCAAGUAAUCCGCCACUCCAAAAUCUCCCAUCACAGCGACAACUUAAAAGUCUUCAAUAAACACAAGAUUCAAGGAGACGAAGGAGAAUUAAA